rnacentral:lncRNA from 1 species
UACGCGGAUGGCCUCCUCUCGUAUUACACCCAUGAGGUCGUCAACGACAAUUGUAGGAUUGAUAAAGCCGUGGACAACCUCCUGAGCCAGCUGGUAUAUCCGCUCGCAUGAUGGUGCUCCUGACUGCACAACACCACUCGCCAUGUGCCCCUCUAUGAUCCACUGGAAGAAGUCAUCGGAUAAUGAAGGGUCGACGCCUGAUCCACU